GAGGUCCAGCCUGCCCAGUGACAUUCAACGGCCGCGGUAUCCUAACCGUGCAAAGGUAGCGUAAUCACUUGUCCCCUAAAUAGAGACCAGUAUGAAAGGCAUCACGAGGGCUAAACUGUCUCCUUUUUCUAAUCAGUGAACCUAAUCUCCCCGUGAAAAAGCGGGGAUCCCCCUAUAAGACGAGAAGACCCUAUGGAGCUUAAAACAAUUGUGUGUUUUUGGUUGGGGCGACCGCGGAGAAAAACCUAUCCUCCUCAAUGAAAAACAAGCUACAACUUUAAGUAUCAAAAAAUUGACAUCCCUUGACCCAAUAAAUUGAUUAAUGAACCAAGUUACCCUAGGGAUAACAGCACAAUCCACUUUGAGAGCUCCUAUCGACAAGUGGGCUUAUGACCUCGAUGUUGGAUUAGGGUAUCCUAGUGGUGCAGCCGCUACAAAGGUU
rnacentral:rRNA from 1 species